rnacentral:rRNA from 1 species
UUAACGGCCGCGGUACCCUAACCGUGCGAAGGUAGCAUAAUCACUUGUUCUUUAAAUGGGGACUCGUAUCAACGGCACUACGAGGGCUAUACUGUCUCCUUUUUCUAAUCAGUGAAACUGAUCUCCCCGUGAAGAAGCGGGGAUUAGAAUAUAAGACGAGAAGACCCCAUGGAGCUUUAAACUCACCAUGCACCUCUGUGCCCCCCAUAUCCUUAAACACAACGGACCUGCAUGCUAGUUUUAGGUUGGGGUGACCACGGAGUACAACUUAACCUCCACAGCAAAUGGGCUAAUACCCUUAUCCACGAGACACAACUCUAAGAAUUAUUAUACUAAUGCUUAUUGACCCGAUAUUCGAUCAAUGAACCAAGUUACCCUGGGGAUAACAGCGCAAUCUACUUCAAGAGCCCAUAUCGACAAGUAGGUUUACGACCUCGAUGUUGGAUCAGGGUAUCCCGGUGGUGCAGCCGCUACCAAUGGUUUGUUUGUUCAACGAUUAAAACCCUACGUG